GGAUGCGACAUAGCUAUUUCAGCUCCCAGAAGCAAAGUGUCUCAUGACAGAUGGGGAACCUCAACUUCAGUCACAGCUUCAAAGGACUCCAUCACUGCAGUUCAUCCACACACCCACACCUGUAGAGCAGCGAUGCACGUGGAUACAGCCGUGGCUGCCAUCUCCAUUAGCUUUAAAGUAGCAUGGCACAAGUAAGUUGUAAGACCCUCGAGCUGUCAUUACAUGCAGCAGCAGCUCCAGAAGCAAUCCUGGGUGACA